AUGGCGCAUCACUUAGUUGCAGUACACCACCUCAUGCAUGAGACGCCUCUACAAGCAGUGCUACUUCUAUUGCUACUACUGCUACUGCGCUUCGCCACAAUUAGUAGCAGCAAGAAGCAGGCCAAUAGAAAGCGUCUCCCUCCUUCCCCUCCAGGCCUCCCUGUGAUAGGCCACUUGCACCUGGGCCGAGAUCACGUCUCAUUAUGCAACCUCGCCAAGAAGCACGGCUCGGACGACGGCUUCAUGCUCCUCCGCCGCGGCGCCGUCCCGCACCUCAUCGUGUCGUCCCCACGCGCCGCCAGGGCGAUCAUGCGGACGCAUGACCACCUGUUCGCGUCGCGGCCAACAUCCAUGGUCGCCCACGAGCUCCUGUAUGGGCCGAUGGACGUCGUCUUCGCCCCCUACGGUGAGCACUGGCGGAUGGCGAGGAAGCUCGUCGCGGCGCACCUGCUCAGCGUCAAGAAGAUCCAAUCGUACCGCCUCGCCCGUCAGCAAGAGGUGAGCCUGGUGAUGGCCGUGAUACGAGAGUCGGCGGCUGCGAGCACGAUGAUCGACAUGGGUGAGAUGAUGAACACCUUUGUGAAUGACAUGGUGUGUCGCGCCUUGUCCGGGAAGUUCACCAUGAAAGAAGGCCGGAACAAGAUAUUCAGAGAGCUGAUCGAGGCGAACUCAGCUCUCUUUGCGAGUUUCAACCUGGAAGACUGCUUCCCAAGGUUAGCAUGGCUCACUAGAUCUAAUGUUUGUAACAAUGCCAAGAAGGUGAAUAGAAGGUGGGACGAUCUGCUCGAAAAGAUGAUACAAGACCACGAGAAACGAACAUUGUUGCCACCACAUGACAAACAAGAUGGCAAACAGGAAGAGGAGAGUGACUUCAUUGAUGUACUUCUAUCGGUUCGGCAGCAGAAAGACUAUGAUGGUAUCACCAGAGAGCAAAUCAAGGCCAUCUUAAUGGACAUGUUUGCUGCGGGCACGGACACAUCGUCCUUCGCCUUGGAGGUAGCUAUGGCUGAGAUCAUGUGCAACCCUCGGGUGAUGACUAAGCUACAAGCCGAGGUGAGAAACAGCACACCGAAGGGGCAAGACAUGGUCGAGGAAGAGAACUUAGCCAACAUGACAUAUUUGAAGGCAGUGGUGAAGGAGACGCUUAGGCUGCACCCGCCGCUACCGCUCCUCAUCCCUCACCUUUCCAUGGCAGAGAGCGAAGUCGACGUCGCUGGAUACACGGUCCCUUCUGGAGCAUGGGUCAUGGUGAACUCAUGGGCUAUCAACAGAGACCCCGAGUGGUGGCAGAAGCCGGAGGAGUUCCUGCCAGAAAGGUUCAUGGAGGGUGGUAGCGCCUCGGCGGUGGACUUCAGGGGGAACGACUUUCAGUUUUUGCCGUUCGGAGCUGGCAGGAGGAUCUGCCCUGGUAUCAACUUCGGGCUGGCGACCAUCGAGAUCAUGCUGGCAAACCUUGUGUACAGUCACGACUGGGAGCUGUCGUCCGCCACGGGCAAGAAGGGUAUUGACAUGACAGAAGUGUUUCGCUUGAGUGUCCGACGGAAGGAGAAACUGAUGCUUGUUCCCAAGAACCGCUCAAGUGUGUGA
rnacentral:rRNA from 1 species